rnacentral:sRNA from 1 species
UUUUGUGACGGAGAGAGUACUAUUGGAAAGAUCAGCUAGUUGGAAAAUGCCAUCUAGUUGUAACUAAUAUGUUGGACAGGGGAAAGUUACAUUGCUAAGGUCUAAAGUGGAAGAAUUAAGGGUUUUUUAACUUUUAGUCAUGGUGAAUCUUCACUGACUUGAUAAUUGACUUAGUUGUCUUAUGUUGGAAGCCACAAGUUCCGGAUUGAUGGAAUUACUGAGUCCCACUGCAAAAAUCACCAAGUUGGAAAAUGAUCAAAAGAUGGAAUUUGUUUUUUCCGUAAUUUUCUCUGAUUGAAAUGAUUGUUUAGGUGUUAUCAUCCAUUCAUCCUAAUAGUAGACUAGGAUAGUACGACAUAACUGUUCUCUCUACAUGCUUUGUUUUGUCAUCAUUUUGUUGUGCUACUGUGACCAUAAUUGUUGUUAUAUGUGAAUGUUUGGUGGCAUGAUCAUCCUGAAAUUAUAACUUGUCAAUUGUCAUACUUGUGGUGUCCAUCUCUGUUCUGGUGCAUGUGCCAAGCAAGCUAUUGCUAAUGAUCUGUCAUGUUGGUGUCCAUAUGCUGUUGGUAGAUAAAUCAGUUGUUGAGUUUGAUGGCUCAUUUUGUACGGUUGCCUUGGGACCUUCAUUUAGUCUGUGUUGUGUUGCCUAAAUCCUAAUGCACAGUAGGAUGUGCUAUUUUAUCCAGUUUUCAGUUCUAGACGGAAACCCUGAAUGCUCUGGAGAUCUGGUGAGAAGUACAUUUUCAUUACUCUAGUGUUAUCUGUUCCUGUAGUUCAUGAUUAAUUCUGUGUCAUGUGGUUUUGCUCUGGUAGCGCCUGCCUAACUCUAUUAGGAAGGGUCUUGUACGCUCAUUAUUGUCCCCCUAAGUUAGGAAGGUCAUGCACCAAACCAAACUUGAGAGCUGCAAAUGAACAUCACCACACAAGGGUAAUAAAUGAUUCUGUUAUAUGCUGUCUCUCCUCAUUCUUUUUGUUCAGUUACAUCUAUAUGUAGUGAUGUCGGAUAAACAAACACCUGUUACUUUCUAUGUACUUUAAGAGCGAGGUGGAGGUGAAGUUAUCAGUGUGUUUUUUUAUGAAUUACUCCCCAAAUUUCUUCAGUAGUAUGCAAUAAGGCUUCCAUGUGUUUGUUUGUUCUUAUUAUUUGACAACCUUCUGAGAUCACAUUUUAACAUGGAAAAGCCCGAUACAACCUAAUUGUUAUGUGUGGGUAAAAUUUGCAAUUAGGGCGCAUAAACACUGUCAAAUGCUCCUUAGAACAAAAGAAUGAAAGACAUGUUCGAUGCAAAGAUCACAUUGUUUUUAAUAACUCUUUAAUAACAAUAUUAAUAAUUUUGUAAACAUGUUAACUAAUCAGUAUGGUCAAUUUCCUUUUACAACUAUUUAUUUCUAGGACAUUUAAUGUUUUAGUUCUUAUCAUUCCCAGAAUCUUUACAAGAUAAAUGUCGAGACAUUUUUCAGAGGGCAUAUUAGCCUGCUCAAACUGAUCAAUAGAGAAUUAGGCACUUUGUUGUCUGAUUUGACCAUUUUAAUGUUAAUAUUUUAAUUAAAUUUGUACAUACCAAAGUUAGUUGUGCAGCUUGCCUUUCCUGAUAUAGCUUUGUUUGUUAAUAUAUUCUCUGUUUUCUUAGUCAAUACCGUGCAUGAUUCUAAAUAUUUUUUUGCUUGACCAUUGUUGUAAUAUUUCUUUCUGUUUGUGUUCCGCAGGUGGCAAGAAUUUUGUAGAGCGCUGGCUUUCUUCUCUUCCAAACUGAUUAUUUAUCCAUUCUUCUAUGGCUUCGUUAUCUUUAGCAUUUUUAUGUCUCUCGUAUUUGUAAAUAUAUCGAUGAAGACAUGAACCCCAGAAAACACCCAACAAAAAAGAAGAUUAAAAGUUGAGGAGCAGUGGACCGAGAUUCCAACGUUAAGGUACUCUUGCAGUGUACUAAGAGUCAUGAAAACGAAAGAUUACUGCCACGUGCUGACAACCUGAAGUUGAAUCGACGAAUUGUUAAGAUUACCAUUGAUCUACUUGCUUCGGGAUGUUUAAUCUACCUGUAUAUGAUGGCAGUUUACCUCAUUUGUGUGACUGAAAUUCUUCUGUACAUAUAUGAAGGCAGAAACAUUUGAGAUGAACUCCAAUGAGAAUAUGCAUUUCUUCUGUAUAUAUAAUAAACGAUUGUCCGU